CCCAUUUAUAGUUAUGAAUCUGGUCCCUAGUCUGUGUGUUUCUGGAGAAAGGACAGUGUGUUAGAAGGAUCUUGACUUGCCGAGGGCUUGGCUGAAAUAGUGGACAAUCCAUGUGGUCUUCAUUUGUGCCUGCACAUAGGAGCUCACAGACAAGACACAGCUCCUAGCAACAUUCCACAAUAUAGAAAUCCAAAGAGGAGGGUGACCUCUAGAGAAUCAAAACUUCAGAAUUAUUA